rnacentral:rRNA from 1 species
GCCGAUCGCCUUGAGUUGAUAUGGCUCGAAUCAACGCUGGCGGCGCGCUUACACAUGCAAGUCGCACGAGAAAGCCCGCAAGGGUGAGUAAAGUGGCGUACGGGUGAGUAACACGUGGAUGAUCUACCUUCUAGUGGGGAAUAACCCAGGGAAACCGGGGCUAAUACCGCAUAAGCUCGAGAGAGGAAAGCAGCAAUGCGCUGGAAGAGGAGUCCGCGGCCGAUUAGCUAGUUGGCAGGGUAAAAGCCUACCAAGGCAGAGAUCGGUAGCCGGCCUGAGAGGGCACACGGCCACACUGGCACUGAAACACGGGCCAGACUCCUACGGGAGGCAGCAGUGGGGAAUCUUGCACAAUGGGGGAAACCCUGAUGCAGCGACGCCGCGUGAGCGAUGAAGCCCUUCGGGGUGUAAAGCUCUUUCGGCAGGGAAGAUGGUGACGGUACCUGCAGAAGCAGCUGCGGCUAACUACGUGCCAGCAGCCGCGGUAAUACGUAGGCAGCGAGCGUUGUUCGGAGUUACUGGGCGUAAAGGGUGUGUAGGCGGUUGUUUAAGUUUGGUGUGAAAUCUCCCGGCUCAACCGGGAGGGUGCGCCGAAUACUGAAUGACUUCGAGUGCGGGAGAGGAAAGUGGAAUUCCUGGUGUAGCGGUGAAAUGCGUAGAUAUCAGGAGGAACACCGGUGGUGUAGACGGCUUUCUGGACCCGUACUGACGCUGAGACACGAAAGCGUGGGUAGC